rnacentral:rRNA from 1 species
UGGCUCAGAUUGAACGCUGGCGGCAGGCUUAACACAUGCAAGUCGAGCGGUAACAGAGAGUAGCUUGCUACUCUGCUGACGAGCGGCGGACGGGUGAGUAAUGCCUAGGAAUCUGCCUAGUAGUGGGGGAUAACUUGCCGAAAGGUAAGCUAAUACCGCAUACGUCCUACGGGAGAAAGGAGGGGACUCUUCGGAGCCUUUCGCUAUUAGAUGAGCCUAGGUCGGAUUAGUUAGUUGGUGAGGUAAUGGCUCACCAAGAACCGCGAUCCGUAACUGGUCUGAGAGGAUGAUCAGUCACACUGGAACUGAGACACGGUCCA